rnacentral:ncRNA from 1 species
GGGUGCGAUUGAACUGACUCAGUCGCAGGUAUUGCGAAUAGUCGGGCCGCUAUUC